AACGCACCUUGCGCCCUUUGGCCAUUCCGAAGGGCAUGCCUGUUUGAGUAUCAUGAACACCUCAACUCUUCAUGGUUUUCCAUGAUGAGCUUGGACUUUGGGGGUUUUGCUGGCCCUAUGGUCGGCUCCUCUAAAAUGAAUCGGCUUGCCAGUGUUUGGUGAGAGUCACAGGUGUGAUAACCAUCUACGCUUGUGGUUUUCCACCAGGUAACCUUCAGCGGUGGAGGUUCACUGGAGCUCACAGAUGUCUCUCCUCAGUGAAGACAGCCCUUUGAAUGUUUGAUCUCAAAUCAGGUAGGACUACCCGCUGAACUUAA
rnacentral:misc_RNA from 1 species